rnacentral:tRNA from 2 species
GCUGGGGUAGCCGAGCCUGGUCAAAGGCGAGGGACUCAAGAUCCCUUACCGUAGGGUUUCAAGGGUUCGAAUCCCUUCCCCAGCACCA